AGGCCUAAUACAUGCAAGUCGAACGGUAACAUUGGUGCUUGCACCAGAUGACGAGUGGCGCACGGGUGCGUAACGCGUAUGCAACCUACCUUUUACUAGAGUAUAGCCCAGAGAAAUUUGGAUUAAUCCUCUAUAACAUCUUUUAAUUUCAUGAUUUUAAGAUUAAAGUUUUAACGGUAAAAGAUGGGCAUGCGUCCUAUUAGUUUGUAGGUGAGGUAACGGCUCACCUAGACUACGAUAGGUAGGGGCCCUGAGAGGGGGAUCCCCCACACUGGUACUGAGACACGGACCAGACUCCUACGGGAGGCAGCAGUAAGGAAUAUUGGACAAUGGACGAAAGUCUGAUCCAGCCAUGCCGCGUGCAGGAUGACAGCCCUACGGGUUGUAAACUGCUUUUAUACAGGAAGAAACACUCCGACGUGUCG
rnacentral:rRNA from 1 species